rnacentral:rRNA from 1 species
UGGGGAAUAUUGCACAAUGGGCGCAAGCCUGAUGCAGCCAUGCCGCGUGUGUGAAGAAGGCCUUCGGGUUGUAAAGCACUUUCAGCGAGGAGGAAGGCGUUAAGGUUAAUAACCUUAGCGAUUGACGUUACUCGCAGAAGAAGCACCGGCUAACUCCGUGCCAGCAGCCGCGGUAAUACGGAGGGUGCAAGCGUUAAUCGGAAUUACUGGGCGUAAAGCGCACGCAGGCGGUUUGUUAAGUCAGAUGUGAAAUCCCCGAGCUUAACUUGGGAACUGCAUUUGAAACUGGCAAGCUAGAGUCUUGUAGAGGGGGGUAGAAUUCCAGGUGUAGCGGUGAAAUGCGUAGAGAUCUGGAGAAAUACCGGUGGCGAAGGCGGCCCCCUGGACAA